CUGUUUUAGACACGUGGCAUGUGGUAUCCCACUAAUUAGCUAUUUUAAACAUGUGACAAGUGGUAUGACACUGUAUUGAUGUAUGUGAAAUGUAUAGAGUCUUUCAGUUAUCAGAUAAUAUCAAGGAGUUGUCAGCAUGGUGUCCGAUUUAAAGUGCGAACCUGUGUACGAGUAACAACAGUAUUCAAAACCAAAACCUAUUUAAACCAACCAAUC